rnacentral:rRNA from 1 species
CACGUAGUUAGCCGGUGCUUAUUCUUACGGUACCGUCAUGGACCCUCUUUAUUAGAAAGAGUCUUUUCGUUCCGUACAAAAGCAGUUUACAACCCGAAGGCCUUCAUCCUGCACGCGGCAUGGCUGGAUCAGGCUUUCGCCCAUUGUCCAAAAUUCCCCACUGCUGCCUCCCGUAGGAGUCUGGGCCGUGUCUCAGUCCCAGUGUGGCUGGUCGUCCUCUCAGACCAGCUACAGAUCGUCGGCUUGGUAAGCUUUUAUCCCACCAACUACCUAAUCUGCCAUCGGCCGCUCCGUCCGCGCAAGGCCUUGCGGUCCCCUGCUUUCAUCCGUAGAUCGUAUGCGGUAUUAGCAAAGCUUUCGCUCCGUUAUCCCCCACGAUCGGGCACGUUCCGAUGUAUUACUCACCCGUUCGCCACUCGUCAGCAUCCGAAGACCUGUUACCGUUCGACUUGCAUGUGUAAGGCAUGCCGCCAGCGUUCAAUCUGAGCCAGGAUCAAACUC